ACACUCCUGCGGGAGGCAGCAGUGGGGAAUAUUGCACAAUGGGCGCAAGCCUGAUGCAGCCAUGCCGCGUGUAUGAAGAAGGCCUUCGGGUUGUAAAGUACUUUCAGCGGGGAGGAAGGUGUUGAGGUUAAUAACCUCAGCAAUUGACGUUACCCGCAGAAGAAGCACCGGCUAACUCCGUGCCAGCAGCCGCGGUAAUACGGAGGGUGCAAGCGUUAAUCGGAAUUACUGGGCGUAAAGCGCACGCAGGCGGUCUGUCAAGUCGGAUGUGAAAUCCCCGGGCUCAACCUGGGAACUGCAUUCGAAACUGGCAGGCUAGAGUCUUGUAGAGGGGGGUAGAAUUCCAGGUGUAGCGGUGAAAUGCGUAGAGAUCUGGAGGAAUACCGGUGGCGAAGGCGGCCCCCUGGACAAAGACUGACGCUCAGGUGCGAAAGCGUGGGGAGCAAACAGGAUUAGAUACCCGGGUAGUCCCAUG
rnacentral:rRNA from 1 species